rnacentral:rRNA from 1 species
AUUGCCUUAGUAACGGCGAGUGAAGCGGCAAAAGCUCAGAUUUGAAAUCUGUCGUCAUUUUGGCGGCCGAGUUGUAAUCUGUAGAGGAGUAUUCGAGUGUGGCUUUGGCUUAAGUUCCUUGGAACAGGGCGUCAUAGAGGGUGAGAACCCCGUUAACGGCCUUUGUCUUAUGCUCAUGUGAAUCUCCUUCAACGAGUCGAGUUGUUUGGGAAUGCAGCUCUAAAUGGGUGGUAAAUUCCAUCUAAAGCUAAAUACUGGCAAGAGACCGAUAGCGCACAAGUAGAGUGAUCGAAAGAUGAAAAGAACUCUGAACAGAGAGUUAAAUAGUACGUGAAAUUGUUGAAAGGGAAGCACUUGCGACCAGACGCACUUGUAGCCGAUCAACCUCCAUUCUUGGUGGUGCACUCGGCUGUAGGUGGGUCAGCAUCAGUUACGGCGGUGGGAAAAAGACCAAGGGAAUGUGGCUCUCUUCGGGGAGUGUUAUAGUCCUUGGUGUAAUGCUGCCAGCUGUGACUGAGGACCGCGCUUCGGUGAGGAUGCUGACAUAAUGGUCGUAAGUGACCCGUCUUGAAACACGGACCAAGGAGUCUAACAUCUAUGCGAGUGUUUGGGUGUUCAAACCCUUACGCGUAAUGAAAGUAAAUGGAGGUGGGAACCGCAAGGUGCACCAUCGACCGAUCCUGAUGUUUUCGGAUGGAUUUGAGUAGGAGCAUAGCUGUUGGGACCCGAAAGAUGGUGAACUAUGCCUGAAUAGGGUGAAGCCAGAGGAAACUCUGGUGGAGGCUCGCAGCGGUUCUG